rnacentral:misc_RNA from 1 species
AAGUCGUAACAAGGUUUCCGUAGGUGAACCUGCGGAAGGAUCAUUAACACGUAUCCAACGUUAAACAACCCUGUGAACUUUCAGCCGCUCUUGUAGCCCUCGAGGAACAGCAAUCCCGGUAAAUCAUUGUCGAACAGUUUUGAUUCGGGACCUCUGUCCAGAAGGUAUCAAGUUACAAUUGAGCGUAGAAGCAGUGGCAUGGCUUCCCCAAGCAGCUAGUGAAAUGACAUUGUCACUAGUUGUGUAAGGAUAACGCCUCACGGUUGCUAGAGGUCGAUCCCCGACCGGCAGACAUGUCACAGGGCUUUACGCCCCUUAACCACCCCUUGCAUGAAUGCCCCGCCUAGUGGUAACGCGCUAGGUAACAAAAACCGAACAACUGUUAACAAUGGAUAUCUUGGUUCUC